UUUUUCCUGAACUUAAUGGGUUUCGUUUUUCCACAGAAAACUAAACAGAAUUUGAUCCAGAUCAGAACACGGAGUUUUAGUGAUAUCUAGUGGCGAGAAAACAUAUGACGCUCUGGACAUCAUUCUGCUUUAGUUAGAAGUACUCGACCAUGAAUGGACAAAUCUCUAGUUAACCAGAUGUUAAACUUCUUUCUAAUAGUUUCAGUAACAGGGCUAAAGUUAUCCUCCAUAUCUUUACCUUCUUUUGACAUUUUAAUACCAGGGUAAGUAACAGUAAUUUUUCACAGGAAUACCACAAACUUCCUUAUCAGUAACAUUAUUUACAGGUAAAAUUUCAAUUUUUUAUCAGAUACAUUCAAGCGGCUUGAAAAGUCAGUCAGAUAAUGAUUUGAAGAAGAAUAAGACCCGUAUGCGCUUACACAGGCAUGUCCGUCCGUCUCUGCAGUCUAACCCAGUCAGUCUAACCCAGUCGCAAGCUCCUGAGCCACUAACCACAGCGCCUAUACCCACUGCAGGCGGCUCCCUGACAGCACAACUGAUCCAGCUGCACGAGCCGAUCAGCUCAGCUCCCACUUCUUCCUAAAGUGUUCUGUUUUUUAUUCAUAUUUCUUUUUGUGUGUGGAUUUUAAUUAUUUGUUUUUUUCCCCCCUUCCCUCAGUGCUGAGGACCCAGUCUCGUGCCCAGGUGGAGGUUUCCCUCGUUUGGAGUGUCGUGUCCUGGUGAAGGGAUUCACGUAUCCAGACCAGGUCUGAGAGCUUCAGACUCUUUGAAACCUCAGUGGAGAGAGACUUCACCAUCGCCCAUCUCCACCACCAGGCCAGCAGGAGCUCUUCCCUGGGUGUGGUGUGUUCGAGUCAUCGUUCUGCCUUGCUGCCAUGAACCAUUCAUCUAAACCACAUCGCAUACAUCAGUUUCAUGCUCUGUCCAAUCAUGUCGUCACUGUUGGAGUAUCAAAAUCCCUUUUGGUCUUCCUGGAAAUAAUCCCUCUGGAAAAGAAGAAAAGCAGAUCCGUCGAUGCAAUCCUAACUUGUGUCCUGAGAUGUCCCACAGGUUCUAAGCAGUAGGCCACUGCUAUGAUCUACAGUAUGUGGACUGGUUACUCUUUCAUCCUUUAUUUAUUUAUUUUUUUUCUUUUUAAUUUUCGUGGACCAUGAGUUUUAAUACAGUUCCUGCCAAGUGUGUUCUAGGAUUUAGAAGCAUGUAAGUUCUGUUGUUUCAAAGCCAAGUGAGAUUCCUCCUUGUACCUCAGCAGUGCUGUCAGUGUGUUUGUUGAUUAGAAUCUGGAAGUAUUCAUUAUCACCACGUCGGCCAGAUUGAGUACGCCACAGUUCAUGUACUUAAUGCAAUUACAUAAAAAAAGUUUGAUCUCCGGGUACAAGACGACACAAUUUUGUGAAUGUAUUUCUGGUUUUACCCAAAAUAGUUCAUUAAGAAGCCAGGUGGUUUUAACUCGUGUGCUAUCCUGGACAUGUUUACAUUAAAAGUGGGGUCAUCUGGACCCCACAAGACAGCGCGCUAAAGUCUUUUUUCUAAGUAUUUUUAAUCUUUUCUGGUGUCCGUGGCAGACAUAAGAUCCUGUCCACAUUUGUUAUGGGAGAGAUCACACAUCAAUGUAAUGGUUGGGUCAUCUUGACCCUAUAAGAGAGCACAAGGGUUAAAGUACUUUUAAAUUAUUAAAAAAAACAAUUUUGUUAAAACCGACUUUUCAACAAGGGGGUUAGUAAACAAUGUCAGAGCUUGUAUUUAAUUUAUUUUUGUAUCUCAUUUAUGUUUUCUAUUUCUGUAUUUUGUUUAAAACAUGUAAAGAGUCUAAUGCUGUUAUCCCAAUACAAAUGUUGUACUGAUGGUGCUGGUCAAAUGCCAAAUAAAAUGUAACAUUUACAUA